rnacentral:rRNA from 1 species
UACGGAGGGUGCGAGCGUUAAUCGGAAUUACUGGGCGUAAAGGGCGCGUAGGCGGUGGGUUACGUCUGCCGUGAAAUCCCCGGGCUCAGCCUGGGAAUGGCGGUGGAAACGGGGUGGCUGGAGUAUGGGAGAGGGUGAUGGAAUUCCCGGUGUAGCGGUGAAAUGCGUAGAGAUCUGGAGGAACACCAGUGGCGAAGGCGGUCACCUGGCCCAAUACUGACGCUGAGGCGCGAAAGCGUGGGGAGCAAACAGG